AUAUGAUAAUGAUGAUGAUGAUGAUGAUGAUGAUUAUGGUGGUGGUCGAUGAAUGCCGGAUCGUCAUCAUAAUCAUCAUCAUUAUCAUCAUCAUCACGC
rnacentral:pre_miRNA from 1 species